rnacentral:rRNA from 1 species
AAGUCGAGCGGAAACGAAGAGGUGCUUGCACCUCUGGCGUCGAGCGGCGGACGGGUGAGUAAUGCUUGGGAAUAUGCCUUAUGGUGGGGGACAACAGUUGGAAACGACUGCUAAUACCGCAUGAUGUCUACGGACCAAAGUGGGGGACCUUCGGGCCUCACGCCAUAAGAUUAGCCCAAGUGGGAUUAGCUAGUUGGUGAGGUAAUGGCUCACCAAGGCGACGAUCCCUAGCUGGUUUGAGAGGAUGAUCAGCCACACUGGGACUGAGACACGGCCCAGACUCCUACGGGAGGCAGCAGUGGGGAAUAUUGCACAAUGGGCGCAAGCCUGAUGCAGCCAUGCCGCGUGUGUGAAGAAGGCCUUCGGGUUGUAAAGCACUUUCAGUAAGGAGGAAAGGUUAAGUGUUAAUAGCACUUAGCUGUGACGUUACUUACAGAAGAAGCACCGGCUAACUCCGUGCCAGCAGCCGCGGUAAUACGGAGGGUGCGAGCGUUAAUCGGAAUUACUGGGCGUUAAGCGUACGCAGGCGGUUUGGUUAGCGAGAUGUGAAAGCCCC